rnacentral:misc_RNA from 1 species
UUUCCGUAGGUGAACCUGCGGAAGGAUCAUUAUUGUAUAACCGAGGUGCGAGGGCUGUCGCUGACCCGAAAGGUCGUGCACGCCCGAGUGCCCUCACACCCCUCCAUCUCACCCCUAUGUGCACCACCGCGUGGGUCCCCCUUUGGCUUGUUCGGAGGGGGGCUUACGUUUUCACACAAACUUUGUAUGCAGUGUAGAAUGUAUUUUUUGUUUUUGCGAUCACGCAAUCAAUACAACUUUCAACAACGGAUCUCUUGGCUCUC